GGAAUAUUGGACAAUGGGUGAAAGCCUGAUCCAGCCAUCCCGCGUGAAGGAUGACGGUCCUAUGGAUUGUAAACUUCUUUUGUAUAGGGAUAAACCUAGAUACGUGUAUCUAGCUGAAGGUACUAUACGAAUAAGCACCGGCUAACUCCGUGCCAGCAGCCGCGGUAAUACGGAGGGUGCAAGCGUUAUCCGGAUUUAUUGGGUUUAAAGGGUCCGUAGGCGGACCGAUAAGUCAGUGGUGAAAUCUCAUAGCUUAACUAUGAAACUGCCAUUGAUACUGUCGGUCUUGAGUAAAUUAGAGGUAGCUGGAAUAAGUAGUGUAGCGGUGAAAUGCAUAGAUAUUACUUAGAACACCAAUUGCGAAGGCAGGUUACCAUGAUUUAACUGACGCUGAGGGACGAAAGCGUGGGUAGCGAACAGGAUUAGAUACCCCUG
rnacentral:rRNA from 1 species